ACUCCUACGGGAGGCAGCAGUGGGGAAUUUUGCGCAAUGGGCGAAAGCCUGACGCAGCAACGCCGCGUGCGGGACGAAGGCCUUCGGGUUGUAAACCGCUUUCAGCAGGGAUGAAACUGACAGUACCUGCAGAAGAAGCCCCGGCUAACUACGUGCCAGCAGCCGCGGUAAUACGUAGGGGGCAAGCGUUAUCCGGAUUUAUUGGGCGUAAAGCGCGCGUAGGCGGCUUGUUAAGUCAGGCGUGAAAUCUGGGGGCUCAACCCGCAGCUUGCGUCUGAAACUGGCAGGCUUGAGUCUGGUAGAGGAAAGUGGAAUUCCUAGUGUAGCGGUGAUAUGCGCAGAUAUUAGGAGGAACACCAGUGGCGAAGGCGGCUUUCUGGGCCACGACUGACGCUAAGGCGCGAAAGCUAGGGGAGCAAACAGGAUUAGAAACCCGAGUAGUCC
rnacentral:rRNA from 1 species